rnacentral:rRNA from 1 species
GCUGAAGCCUGGUGCUUGCACCGGGUGGAUGAGUGGCGAACGGGUGAGUAACACGUGAGUAACCUGCCCCUGACUUCGGGAUAAGCCCGGGAAACUGGGUCUAAUACCGGAUACGACUGCCGGACGCAUGUCUGGUGGUGGAAAGUUUUUUCGGUUGGGGAUGGGCUCGCGGCCUAUCAGUUUGUUGGUGAGGUAAUGGCUCACCAAGACGACGACGGGUAGCCGGCCUGAGAGGGCGACCGGCCACACUGGGACUGAGACACGGCCCAGACUCCUACGGGAGGCAGCAGUGGGGAAUAUUGCACAAUGGGGGAAACCCUGAUGCAGCGACGCAGCGUGCGGGAUGACGGCCUUCGGGUUGUAAACCGCUUUCAGCAGGGAAGAAGCGCAAGUGACGGUACCUGCAGAAGAAGUACCGGCUAACUACGUGCCAGCAGCCGCGGUAAUACGUAGGGUACGAGCGUUGUCCGGAAUUAUUGGGCGUAAAGAGCUCGUAGGUGGUUGGUCACGUCUGCUGUGGAAACGCAACGCUUAACGUUGCGCGUGCAGUGGGUACGGGCUGACUAGAGUGCAGUAGGGGAGUCUGGAAUUCCUGGUGUAGCGGUGAAAUGCGCAGAUAUCAGGAGGAACACCGGUGGCGAAGGCGGGACUCUGGGCUGUAACUGACACUGAGGAGCGAAAGCAUGGGGAGCGAACAGGAUUAGAUACCCUGGUAGUCCAUGCCGUAAACGUUGGGCACUAGGUGUGGGGGGCAUUCCACGUUCUCCGCGCCGUAGCUAACGCAUUAAGUGCCCCGCCUGGGGAGUACGGUCGCAAGGCUAAAACUCAAAGGAAUUGACGGGGGCCCGCACAAGCGGCGGAGCAUGCGGAUUAAUUCGAUGCAACGCGAAGAACCUUACCAAGGCUUGACAUACACCGGACCGUCCUGGAAACAGGUCCUCUUCUUUGAAGCUGGUGUACAGGUGGUGCAUGGUUGUCGUCAGCUCGUGUCGUGAGAUGUUGGGUUAAGUCCCGCAACGAGCGCAACCCUCGUUCUAUGUUGCCAGCAUGUGAUGGUGGGAACUCAUAGGAGACUGCCGGGGUCAACUCGGAGGAAGGGUGGGGAUGACGUCAAAUCAUCAUGCCCUUU